ACCACGCCCCCUCCUCCUGGCUUUGAAGGACCGUUAAAAUCGUUGGCACGAAGGGAUUUGUGAAGAGGCUGACGGAGAAAGAGGAAAAGAAGCAAUGAAAAAAAAGAAAAUGAGAUCCUCUGGUCUCUGUCACCUUUUUAUCAACUUGUACUACCUGCCAUUAUCUGACACCCACAUCUUUUCUUGCAUCUGCCUCCUCCUAUGGGACAGCGACAUUUUCUUAAGUUGCAGAUGAUGGAGAAAAUUUUUUAAAAGAAAAAAGGGGGCAGGGGGAGGGAAGCCCAGAGUUUGGCCAAAUGCACGUUUUUCAAGUUCCUGCUUGAGCUUAGAUUCCCUUUCCGCUUUAAGGACAUGCCCUCUGGAAAGAAGGGUGUUUUGUUUCCAGCCCACACAGACCCAAACUUUUUUCAUCACGUGCCUGGUCCGAGCCAGUACGCAGCUCUGUAAUGAGAUCACCAUGGCCAGCCUCCCACCCGAGCAAAAACAAGGUUAGCCUGCAGCAGAGCCGCAGCAGCAACAGCCACCAAAGAGGGGGCUGAAAGGGAAGAGAACUUAGAUUUGACCUGUGCAAGGACCUCAGCAGCUUGGACACAGCCCACUGCAGAGAUGAAAGGAGAAGCUGGACAUAUGCUACACAAUGAAAAGUCAAAGCAGGAGGGACACAUCUGGGGCUCUAUGAGGAGGACAGCUUUCAUCCUGGGCUCUGGACUUCUCUCAUUUGUGGCCUUCUGGAACUCAGUGACAUGGCAUCUUCAGAGAUUUUGGGGUGCUUCUGGCUACUUUUGGCAAGCCCAGUGGGAGAGGCUGCUGACUACAUUUGAAGGGAAGGAGUGGAUCCUCUUCUUUAUAGGUGCCAUCCAAGUGCCUUGUCUCUUCUUCUGGAGCUUCAAUGGGCUUCUAUUGGUGGUUGACACAACAGGAAAACCUAACUUCAUCUCUCGCUACCGAAUUCAGGUCGGCAAGAAUGAACCUGUGGAUCCUGUGAAACUGCGCCAGUCUAUCCGCACAGUUCUUUUCAACCAGUGCAUGAUAUCUUUCCCCAUGGUGGUCUUCCUCUAUCCCUUCCUCAAAUGGUGGAGAGACCCCUGCCGCCGUGAGCUACCCACCUUCCACUGGUUCCUCCUGGAGCUGGCCAUCUUCACGCUGAUCGAGGAAGUCUUGUUCUACUAUUCACACCGGCUCCUUCACCACCCAACAUUCUACAAGAAAAUCCACAAGAAACACCAUGAGUGGACAGCUCCCAUUGGCGUGAUCUCUCUCUAUGCCCACCCUAUAGAACAUGCGGUCUCCAACAUGCUACCGGCGAUAGUGGGCCCAUUAGUAAUGGGCUCCCACUUGUCCUCCAUCACCAUGUGGUUUUCCUUGGCCCUCAUCAUCACCACCAUCUCCCACUGUGGCUACCACCUUCCCUUCCUGCCUUCGCCUGAAUUCCACAACUACCACCAUCUCAAGGCCUGGAAACCUGCAUUUUAGUUAAGUGUUCCAGGGGAUUCUGAUGCUGGUGAUCUCAUACCUGAAGAAGCCUAGUUCUGCUAGAGAUCCUCAAAGUGUGGGCAUCAAUCACACAGCAAGCUUUUCAAAGGAGGACUCCAGAUACGGCAAAUUGCAGGUUCAACCAGUGCUAUGGGGUGCUGGGUGUGCUGGACCACCUCCAUGGGACUGACACCAUGUUCAAGCAGACCAAGGCCUACGAGAGACAUGUCCUCCUGCUGGGCUUCACCCCGCUCUCUGAGAGCAUCCCAGACUCCCCAAAGAGGAUGGAGUGAGAGACGGCCUAAGUGUCAUCCUGGCUGUCCCUCAGCCAUGGGAUGCAGACACGGCUUCCCGAUUGCACCUAACAAUUUGCCUCCUUCGGCCACACGCCCUAAUGAUGGCACCACCAGGGUAGAGGGAAGGUCGGCUUCCCGGAAAAGCAGGGCCAAGGAUGAGGCUUUCUCCAAACUACUGCCCUUGAUGUCCCUCAAUGGGAUCAGGAGUUAGCUUAAGAAAAAGGAAAACAGCUCCCCAGACUGGAGGCUGGUCAGAGGGAGGAGACCCCUGGUCCUCUGCUGUGGAAGGAGAGGGGUUCAGCCCCAGAUAACUCCUUUGUGGCCUGGGCAGGAUGCAGAGAAUGACAAGGCUGAAAGGAGAGGGACUGGAGGCUGCCUGGCUCCAGCGAGAGCUCCUUCUGGGACCAGAGGGUGGGACGGCCAGGUAUCACUUUGCCCCUUCCUGCCCCAAAAGGCUUUCACAUACCCCACUCAGGCCAGAGCCAAGACACCCUGGCAAAUCGUUAUAGGUCUCAAUUCAUGACAUACCAGAUGCCAGUCGCCACUUCACCCAACACACACACAAACAUACACACACCAAACACUCUGAGUGAGUGGUAAAGGCCCCGUUUUAACUCUGGCCCACCACAAACAAAAGGUUUCCUUCUGUGGGGGAGAAAAAAAAAUCCAGGAGCUCCUUCCCGGAUUAAAACCAACGAGGUGCAGACCAAACUUUAACACCUUUAGCCUUAUGUGGAAACCAAAAACCAACUGCUGGGAAACUGUGAAAAGCCCUUUUACCCACAAAGGGAGGGGUCAAAGUUGCUGCCCUUUGGGGACACCCGAGACCCCUAAUUAGCCUAUCUGAAUGAGGACCAAAGGUUAGAACCCUCUUUCUCCCCGAAGAAAGAGCCCGGAAAAACAUGGCCGAGCAAAGGGCAAAAUCCUUUCUCCCCCGAAUGCUUUACCAGUUUCUCAGCAACAUUUAUUCAAGAUGAUUUUUACCAGGAACUUAUCAAAGGCAAAACCACAGCUGUUUGGGUUGAAGUCCCCAUCCUGGCCUCCUCUCAGCCGCCAGACAUGGCCAGGAACCCUGUGGUUCCCAAGAACAAUUUAAAGAUCACUCUUUGAUUUGAAAGACCACCAUUAUUUUACUAAAUUCUUAUAUAUACUUGUGCCUUUUCCAACUUUCAGUUCUCUUAAGAAAAACAUCCACUGUAGCUUUAUAAAAUACCUUAGUAUCAGCUAGGUCCAAGUCUCCAGGCAGGACUAUCAAAAUGGACUCCUUCUUCCUAUCAGCUCUAGAACCCCAGAGGACUUGCCCAGUAGGCCAGCUGAGCACUUACCAGGCAGCAUCUCCCUGGCCUUCCACAGUCUCGCCUGUCUCUGGCCUUGGUGGACCUGGCUCCCUCCCUAGGAGGCUUUUGCCCUUAGCUUGAAUAUAGUUCCUGGUGCAUCAAAGCUGUAAGUUCUCAGCUGCUGGCCUGCACUCAUCACCUCUUCCUACAAAUAAACAUUUGGAAAAAAGUCCAUCUUCAAUAUGCUUAAAGAGAAGGGUAGGAGAUAAGGAGAAAGAACAGAUACGGUUUUUUUCCCCUUUAAGGCCUUUAGAUUUUGAGGUACUGUAAGGGGCCUAGAAGGACAAAAGGCUGUCAUUCCCUCUUCCUUUUGGCAGGCAGGUUAUCAGUCCUUGGCAGAAGGGCCCAGGCCUAUCCUUUUCUGUAUCAAACAAAAUCCUUGAGGUUGGUAUACAAGUUAAGGCUGAAAAAAGGCCUUAAAUUCCCAGUAAAGAACGUGAAAGCAAGCAUGUAAAAUAAACUGGUCUUCAUGAA